rnacentral:lncRNA from 1 species
AAUAGGGGCCAUGGCACUGCCGACGGCGGCCGGGCGGCAGGUAGGUGUGGCCAACGGAGGGAAGCCGGGAUGCGCGUCGGCCACUGACGGGAGGCGGCGACGGCGGCGAGCAAUGAUGCCCUAGCCGCACAGUCAAGGAUGAGCUUGGCGCGGGUCUGGCCAGUAGGGGGAGCUCCGGCGACGGGGGCGCCGAUGGCAACCGGGAACGGCCACUUCAUGGAAGCCGGCGCUCAUGCCAGCCAACAUCAGGAGGCGGCGGUGGUGGCCCAGGAAGAAAGCAAGCCCGCACAGCCCCCACCUCGGGUUACCUUGCUUCUCCAGUCACGGCAAUGGCCGGAGCAAGCAGGGAAGGGGCGCGGCCAACCUCUGGAGCCGAGAGGAGGAGGGGGAGACGGCGGCCGGGGGCCGAGCUGGCAACAAGCUAAAAUAAUGGCGACAGUGGCACUCGUCGAUGGCUGUGGCGGUCGGGGGAGGUCGCCGAAGGUCCGAGGAGUCGCCGGAGAAGAGCCCAAGGUGAGGGAUCACCCUGCCGAGCUCUUGAGCAGAGAGGAAGAUGAUUGGUGGCGGUUUGGUGGAGAGGGAUGCAAUGCUGCCUUUCCUGCGGCCGAAAGCAUGCGGCGGCAGCCAGGGCGCGCACUGCGAGGGUAGAGGAGGGUGGUCCGGUGGUUGGGAAAGUCUCAGCUGAGGGCUAGGGUUAGGGUUUACCUGGUGCAACCCUAGAGCUUAAAAAUAUAUAUAUAUAUGGUGCAAUUUUGUGCAAAACUCCCAAAAAACUGAGAUUUUCUCAGUGAGUCCCCCACAACGUGUGUAAAACAUGUGAACACACCCCCACAUCCGAUUUCACGCAAAACGGUAUAUAAAAUAUAGGGUGUUUUGCAAAAUUACCACACUACAAGAAAAAGGGGCCGUAGAGGCGGUUGUUAAGAGGCGGUUGCAACAACCGCCUCUACAAAUAUACGUUAGGGACAUAUGANGAUCAUCGAAUGCAAGUCAUGAACCUACAAGUGAAGGAAACUAGGGAACCACAUAAAUUUUUGUAAAUUAUAUAACUACUCUAUUGACUAUCUCUAACUAUAUGUUUUUUGUUGAGAAUUGUGUGAAGUCUUAUGUUGUUGUUAUAUUUUUCGAUUAAAUGUUAAUUUAUAUUUUAUGUUGUUUGAUAAGAAAUGUAAAUUUCUUUUAUGUAUACAAAUUAAAAUAAAUAUGAAUAAAACUUUUUACUAUUAUUUGUGUGCUAGAGGCGGUUGAGAUCGCCUCUAUCUAUUGUCUUGGCAUAUUAACAUCUGUAGAGGCGGUUGAAACCGCCUUAAUUAAAUUUAAUAUGUAGAGGCGGUUCAAACCGCCUCUACAUAUUAAAAAUCCGUAGAGGCGGUUUUGACCGCCUCUACAAAGUAAUGUUUGUAGAGGCGGUUUAAACCGUCUCUACAGUUUAAAAUUUAGUAUAAUAAAACAUAUUAAAAAAUAUUUAAAUGAAAUUAUUGGGGCGGUCGCAACCGCCUCUACGAACCGCCUUUAUGCUGCCCCAGUGGUCGCUCAAACCGCCUCUAAAAUGUAGAGGCGGUGGCUACGGCGGCAGUGUAGAGGCGGUUGUGGAAACCGCCUCUACGAUUUUUAGAGGCGGUUUAAACCGCCUCUACAAAUAUUAAAAACCGCCUCUACGAGCAUUUUUUCCUGUAGUGCCAUUUCGCCACUAAUGACCCCUCCUCGAUCAACGUGCAAUAUCAGGUGAUCCGUCGGUCAGAUUUGCGAACGGAUUGCACCAGCGCGUUCAGCACGACUAGGGCAUCGAAUCUACAAUUUUGUUUUUCCAGAUUAGGUCGCCGAUUGCAAUGGAAUCCUUCCCUCUCUAAAUACCAAAAACCUUCUUUUUGCGAUAAAAUUCAUUUCUCUCGAAAAUCGUGCAUCAGAACCAAAAUCCGUCAGUGCCAUUGGGUCCAGGAUAGUCGAACCAUCGAAAACGAGCUAUUGGAUCACUAUGAACGGAGUCCAAUACGCACCAGAAGCCAUCUCCACUCAUUGGCUUCUCCGAAAAAUCAGAGUUACUAUUCACUUUAAGUGAAAAGUAAAGAUUGCGUAACUUCUCCAUCCUAACUCGUUUUCUCCUGAAACUUGAUGAGUGCUUAUGUAAUUAAAUUACACACAAAAAACAUCAUCAACAGAGAAUUUAACUACACUGCCAAAUCUCAGUCAUCACAUUAUCCCUCCCUUAAAGGAAGUUUCGUCCCCAAAACUUGACUACGCACUUAUUGUAAUCAAAUUCGGAUACACCUUUGAGUAUUGAUCAAUCAUAUAUCCUUGAAUCUGGAUAAAUCAACCUCCGAAGUAGAGGAGAAUAGAAUUGCAAUUCCACUCGAAUGAGACGAGGGAAAACGACCAACCCAAAAUCUUUGGACAAAGACUCACCGGGAUCAACACCGUCCUAUAACCUGCGGACAAAACAGUUCGGCGACCAGGAUUAUCCGAUCCCAAAUCUACCAAAUCUGAGAUAAUAAUUCAUUACUCAGGAGCUCUAGGUCCACCCAACUUUGCCCCGCGUAGCAGUCACCAACUCAACUACGUCGAAAGUUCACGUAGAAAAUUCACAGCACAACACCACAAAUCUAGAGUAUAUUUUCGUAGGCCGAACGACAUACUCCGACUAGCCAACAACAUCAACCAGUUCACCUCGAGCGAAUGUGUAUCGCUGUCCUAAAACCUGAGCCAAUAAUACUCACCUUGGAGACCACAGUCUCCCACUAGUUUAAAACAUAAACAACCGAAGUCAAACCCUUAGUAUCGAAAACCCACCUACGGUAUUCGACACUCUUAGGUCCAAGACCUCACCUUCUGCCUGGCCAAAAAGUCUAAGGUUAACAUUACCAAUUGAGCUCGACAAUUUUGUCUCCUCAAUAACUCAAUCCAGUACAAUCAAAUCAACAUAAGCUCCUUGCAAGUCCAUCACUUGAUGCAUAGGGUUGCCAAUCACAAUAUGUGAUAAUAACCAUCGGUGAUGCCCAACACCUGUCUCCACGAGACCCUAUCACUGCCGUCCUACAAGGGACCCAAGUGAUCGUUGUUCCCAGCAACACCAAACACUUGUCUCAUUGAGACCCGGGCGCACCUGUCAUCAAAUAACCGGACAAGCAUACUAUUCCAAGGUUUGCACAUCAAGCCGAGUCGCAAACCUUAUACACUAUCACAUACCAUGACAAUCGAAGCCAACAACCAGACUCAAGCCACUCAACAGCCGUGAUUUUGAACCUCCCGGCAAAAGACCGAGACUACGAACCAAAACAAACCUUUUGGUUGUGAAGGCACAAAUAUAGAGUUAACGAGCACCCAAACUCAAACCAGAGUCAAAACCAUCUGCAGUAAUGAUAAAUCAACUGCGCAAAACCUGCUAGGGAUUAACCCAAGGCUCGCUACAUGGUCAGAGGUGACCAUCAUUCAAGCUUUGCCACAAGACAAUCUCUAUAGUUCGUCUUGCAAGAGAAAACACCGACCCAAUUCAAAAGUCCCAAAAGGGAAAAGGGCAUUUCGUCCCAACUUUCGGCAGUACAUUGUCUGCAGCCAAUGUACUUAUCAAAAGAAAAGCAAAAUACCCAUAGAUCCACUACCAACAACAAGUUGGAAAUGCGACACAUCAAAGUAUCAAGCCACGUGAUACAUCUUUACGGAACCAAAACCGUCGAAAUAUCGUGUAAUAUACCGAUUUUAAUAUAAAAGUAAAUAUAAAUAAAAAUAGUGUGAGAUGCUAUUUUUAUUUGACUUAAAGAAGUAAAAUAUAAGUCGGGAAUGACUUGUGCUGAAAUCGAAACGGAAACAGAAGAUUUAGAAUUUUCUGUAAGAAACGGAGCUGAUAUUUUAGCAGAAAAUUCACAGUGUCAGAAAAUUAUGAAAAUCUGAAAAUAUGUCGGGAUAAUUUUUAUGAGGCUAGAUUUAAAGUUUCAUAUCAUUCCGACAUCCGAAAAGUGAAAAAUAAAAUCCGACUGCUAUCUGCUAGAGAUUUCAGUUUGGUAGAGCUUUCGGUGACCAAAAGUGGUCGAAACUGAAAAGUUAAGAUAUUUUCCGUUUUAUUAACUUAAACCGAGCCUGACUGUCAAAUUUGAGCGCAAAUGAACAUUCAGAAGGGCUCCGGCGAAAAGUAUCAGAUUUUGAGCUGCUAAACUGAAAUUGUGUAAUGUUGGCGGAGGGCUUUAUGUAGAGGGGGCUUCUUCUUCCCUCCUCAACCGUACACACCACACACACACACACGCAUGGUGAGAGAGAGAGAGACCUUCCCUUUCUCUCUCUAGAUAUCUCUCUUCUCUCUCUAGAUCUCUCUCCCAAAGUUGGGAUUUUGGAGGAGAUAAUGUUGGAGAUGAAGCUUGGUGGUGAAGCAAGCUUUCCAAUGGUGGAUUUAGCUUGAUCAGCAUGGUGGCCUAAGGUAAGAUCUCAUGAUUUAAGCUAGGAUUUCAAUUAAAUCCUUUAAGUAUGAGGUUCUAAUGAUCUCUAAUGUGUUGUUAGCAUGUUUUUCCAUGAGAUUUGGGUUAAUUGGAGAAUAGGUUCAUGCAAGGUUUAGAAUGGGGGUUAUGGGCAAAUGAGGGUUUUGAUCUAUUUUAACCCCAUAUUUCUCUAAUUGAAGGUUAGAGAUGAACCCUUGAUGAUCCUAUGUUGCGGAUUGUUGGGCGUUCGGCGAUCAAUUGCGAGUUGGAGCCGAACCGGAUCACGUGUGCCGCGGGAGCCCGAUUGCAAGUGACUACAAGCAAUCGGAGAGCAAUAUUAGGUGGGUUGUGCUCAGCAAAGCGACUAGGUCGCCUCCAUGUCGAAGUGGAAUGUGAUCUCUUUACUGAUGCAUAUAAUGAGAUAAUGCUAGAUGAAUGCAUGAAAAUAAUGCUAAAUGAAUGUAUAAGGUAUAUACUAAUAAUGAAUGCGUGUGAUAGAUGCCAAUGAAUACAUGAGAUUUAUGUUAAUCAAGAAUGCAUGUGGUAGAUGUUAAAGAAUACAUGAGAUGCUAAGUAUUGACUACCUUGGAUGACAANCAAUAAUUAGAAGCUUCAUCAUUUUGGUUAUAUUUCAGUUUUCAAAAUCAUGAUUUUUCAGGUUAAUACAUUCAAACAAGGUUGUUUAAUUAAGGCUCGACACCCCAUCUUUCUCUCUCUCUCUCUCUCUCUCUCUCUCUCUCUCUCUCUCUUCUUUAUUUUAGUUUUUAUUUUAUUGUAUUGUAUUUAUUUUGUCGAGUACUGUUGUAACGCUCCAACGUGAACUGAUUCUCUUGGAUAGUGCAAAUUCCAUUUGGAGAGUUUUGAAUAUUAUUAUAUGGCGUAUUGGGUUUAUCAAGCCCAUAAUUGAUUAAUAAAAUUACAUGGUUUUAAGCAAUGCCAGGAUAUAUAUAUGUAUAUAUAAGCAAUUGUCAUAAUCAUGCAUUACUUGGAUGAUACUUGAUUCACCAGCAGUAUAUACUUCGUUUGAGUUCCAUUUGGGAAUUCCGGGUGGCUAUAUAUUGCUAACUUUUAUUUGAUUUCCGUUCUGGGAUUCUGGGUAGCUCGCCUAGCAAAAGAAUAAGGAAGGACUAAACGACAUUUAAUUAACCUCUGCCGAGUCUCGAGUCAAAUUAGUGUGAAAAGAUGCAUUGAUAUUGUAUAGAUGUAACAUCUUCUUUGCUGAUAAUACCAAAAUGACACAUGCUCAUUAAUUAGAUCAAGCAACAAAUUGAUGUUCUUAUUUACAGGGAUUAGGAAGUAAAAGUGAGGGAAGAAAAAACUUGUGGAAUUGCUGUGGUUGAGGUCAUCUUCUACUUCUUCUUCUAUUUGCAGAUUAGGUAAGUUAUACUAUAUCCCCUUUUUAUUCUCAGCUUUUGUUAAUAUUUUAGUUUUAUUAUCAUUAAGUUAAUUAUUAUUACUAAGUUAAUCGUUAGCUUCAUAACUAUGCAUUGGUAUUAAAUAAAGCUUUUGUUGUUUUGUUCAGUUGUUUUUCUACAAUGGAUAAGAGUUGGAUGACAAAACAUAGAAAUAGUGAUGAUUAUAAAAAUGGAGUCUCACAAUUUCUUGAAUUUGCAUUUUGUAAUGCAUCCUAUAGUGGCAAGAUAUUGUGCCCUUGCAUACGUUGUGUUAAUUGUUCGUUACAAAAUUACGAGGAUGCAAAAAUACACUUGAUAUGUGAUGGCUUUCUAAAAGGAUAUACUAGAUGGAUUUGCCACGGAGAGGAACCUUUAUCAUUAACUUCUUCAAUUAAUACUGUCGAUAGUACUUCAACUUCUCAACCUAUGCAAGAAGUGUCGCAUGUGGAAGAGUAUACUCUUAUAACCCAAAAUUUUGGAAGGUUGGAUGAUGUACACGGACUUUUACGUGAUACUGUUGGUCUUAUUGGUGCAACAAUUAAUGAAUCAGAAAUACCCAUGAAUGAAUUUGAUGAAAUGGUGGACCCACAACAAGCAACAGUAGAACCUCAUGUGGAACAGCCUAGUCAAGAAGCUAAUUGUCAUAAUCAUGAAUUUCAUAAGUUGUUAAAAGAUGCAAAUGAAGAACUAUAUCCUGGAUGCAAGACAUUUUCAAAACUAUCGUUUAUACUCCAUUUGUUUCACUUGAAGUGUCUAAAUGGGUGGUCAGGAGAGUCAUUUAGUAUGUUACUUGAGUUACUAGUUGACGCAUUUCCUGAAGGUACUUCAUUACCUCGUUCAUCAUAUGAAGCAAAAAAAAUUAUUAAGGCCUUAGGACUAAAUUAUGAGAAAAUUCACUGUUGUCCAAAUGAUUGUAUGUUGUUUCGGGGUGAUAAAGGAAAACAAGAAGUGUGCGAUGUUUGUGGAUCUUCUCGUUGGAAAAAAAAUAAUGUGGAAAAUGAACAUAUUGCAAACAAUGAAGAAAACACUUCUAGCGUAUCUACCAGACCAAAACAAAGUAGAAAGAUUCCAGCAAAAGUUUUACGAUAUUUUCCUCUUAUACCAAGACUACAAAGACUUUAUGCCUCUACAAAAACAUCAAAAGAUAUGAGAUGGCAUGAGGAAGGUCGUAAGAAGGAUGGGUUGUUAAGACAUCCUGCAGAUGGUGAAGCGUGGAAGGCAUUUGAUGAACAAUUUGCAGAUUUCUCCUCUGAUUCUCGCAAUGUAAGGCUUGCUCUUUGUAGCGAUGGGUUCAACCCAUUUAGAACAAUGAGUACAACUUAUAGUACAUGGCCGGUUGUGUUGAUUACAUAUAAUUUACCUCCUUGGAUUUGUAUGAAACAAUCCUCUUUUAUCUUAUCAAUGAUCAUUCCAGGUGAAAAGGGUCCUGGAAAUGAUAUUGAUGUUUUUAUGCAGCCUUUAAUUGAGGAGUUACAAGAAUUGUGGGAGGGCGUGGAAACAUAUGACGCUUCAAACCAAAAAAAUUUUCAUAUGCGAGCUGCAUUACUGUGGACCAUAAAUGACUUUCCUGCAUACGGAAUUUUGUCUGGUUGGAGUACGAAAGGAAAGUUUGCAUGUCCUUGUUGUGCGGGGCAAACACAUUCUAAGUGGUUGCGCAAUGGAGGGAAGUAUUGUUAUAUGGGUCAUCGCCGUUGGUUACCUGAGGGGCAUAUAUUUCGUUCUCAGAAAGAUGUUUUUGACGGUACCGAGGAGGUAAGAUCUGCACCUGUUCGGGUAAAUGGAGUUGAUAUAUUGAGACAAAUGGAUGGCAUGCAAUUCAAAUUUGGUAAACCACCAAAAGAAAAUAAUCAAGGGACAAAUAGUAAAAGAUCAAAAAAGAAGAGGCAAAUGAGAAAUGACAAUACAACAUCGAACGAUUUCAUUUCUAUGUCAGAACCUAGCGAUGCUUUGAGGUGGUGGAAGAAGAAAAGUAUUUUUUUUGAAUUACCAUAUUGGCAAUAUAACUUAUUGCGCCAUAAUCUAGAUGUGAUGCACAUUGAAAAAAAUGUGUUUGACAAUUUUAUGGGCACUUUGUUGAAUCUUGAUAAAAAAAACAAAAGACAAUCUAAAAGCGCGACUUGAUUUAGUAGAAAUGGGCAUUAGACCUGAACUGCAUCCCGAGUUGCUCGCAAAUGGGAAGACAAGAUUACCUCCAGCUUCCUUCACGAUGUCCAAAAAAGAUAAAAGAAUUCUUUGUCAGGUUCUCAAGAAUAUUAAAACACCAGAUGGUUAUGCCUCUAAUAUUUCACGAUGUGUGCAUGUUGGUGAGUGUAAAAUUAGUGGUCUCAAGAGUCAUGAUUGCCAUAUUUUGAUUGAGGAUUUACUACCAUUGGCAUUAAAAGGAUGUAGUCCAUCAAAGGAAGUGACCUUAAUAGCAAUUGAAUUGGCCAAUUUUUUUAAAUCAUUAUGUUCGAAGGUGUUGGAUGUGAAUGAGCUCGACAACAUACAAUCUCGUAUUAUACUUACACUUUGCGAGAUGGAAAAAAUCUUUUUACCCUCAUUCUUUACGGUUAUGGUUCACUUAAUGGUUCAUCUAGUAGAGGAGACAAAACUCGGUGGACCGGUACAAUAUAGAUGGAUGUAUUCAUCAGAGAGGUAAAUGAUAAUGCGCUAUUUAUUUCUUAUCUACUUAUGACUUGUAAAACUAAACCCUACCUUUAUGUUCUUAUUUUUUAAUGUUGUAGGAAUUUUGUCCGAAUGAAAUCAUAUGUUCGGAAUAGAUCUCAUCCUGAAGGGUCAAUAGCUGAAGGUUAUAUAGCUGAAGAAUGUUUAACAUUCUGUUCAAGAUAUUUAGAUGCGGUUGAAACAAGAUUUAAUCGACCUGUACGGAAUCCUGAUCCACCUAAAAAUGGAAUAGAAGGAUUAUAUUUAUUUUCUACUGCUGGUAUCCCUAUUGGAAAGAUUGAAAAUAUUGUACUAGAUGAAAAAUCAUGGGUCCAAGCACAUCGUUAUGUACUUCGCCAUUACGAUAACCUUGAGCCUUUUCGCCAGUAAGUCAUGAUUAUCUUAUUACAUUGUUGAUAUUAAAAUUUGUAUGUCAAUUGAAAAUUGUAAUUUUAUAUAAAUAUAGACAAUUCAUUGAUUCGGAGAAAAGAAAACGACGCCGUCAUGCACGCCUCACUGGAGCCGAGAUAGAAAAGCUAGUGAAUGAGAGAUUUCAUGAAUGGUUACAAAGCAAGGUAUAUAUAUUUUAUAUGAAAUAAUAAUUUAUAUUAUUUAAAAUAAUAAAAUAUAUAAUAAUACUUUUUUAUGCUAUAGGUCAUGAUGAUGGAUGAUUCAACCAUUUCAGAAGAGAUUUUAACCCUUGCUAGAGGCCCUAACAAAUUUGCAAGAAGUUUUAGUGGAUUUAUUAUUAACGGUUUCAAAUUUCAUACAAAAGCUCGUGAAGAAAAUAGAAAGACCCAAAAUAGCGGUGUUGUUAAUACUUUAGAAGCAGACGGCAUAAAUUAUUAUGGGAGAUUGAAGAAUAUUGUUGAAUUAAAUUAUUAUGGAUCUUUUAAGAUUGUCUUAUUCAAAUGUGAUUGGGUUGAUGUUCACCACAAUAUGGGCCUUACGCAUGAUGAAUUUGGAUACACUCUUGUAAACUUUUCUCGCCUAAUACACACAGGUGCAGAGCUGAAAGAUGAUCCCUAUGUAUUUUCAUCACAAGUAGAACAAGUUUUUUAUGUACAAGUGCCAGAAGAUGAGAAUUGGUCUUCAGUUGUGAGAACCAAGCCGAGGGACUUAUUCGACAUGGGUGAAGAUUCGACAGAGAACACUUCUGUAAUGCCCUCACAUAUUGAAAACUUAAAUAAGAAUGAAUCUCCAAAUUGGAUUCGAUGAAAUGUAAAUGAAGAUAGCAAUGAUGAACUAGAAUUUUAUAUAGUACUAUUAAAAUAGUACUUUUUAUUCAUGUGAUAUAUUUUUCUUUUAAGUUUACUUUGAUCGAUAUACUCUCAUACCCGACUUAUAUUAUUUGUCUUAUUGGUAUCAUUUUUAUCUUUUCUUAGUAUUUAUCAUCAUUUGCAGGUGAAUUAAAAAAUGACGUCGAGGUCAAGAAGAUUACGCAAUUGCAACAUAAUUGAUUCUACUUCUCAAAAUGCGUCACAAUUUGAAGAAGAAGCAAGAGAGGAGCAGUCACCAUCUUCCUCAGAACCACCUGCAGAGUCAAAUAAUACUGAGCAUGAAAAUAAUAAUCAGAAUGAACUAUUUCUUUGGAUCAUUGGUUAGCAAUACUGCAUGUUAAUUAUAUUACAUUUAAACUAUAUUUUUUAUUUAGAUUAAUAUAUUUAAGCUUAUUUCAGGUGCCGAUAAAAGUCGACGUAAGAAACGAGGACGUACAACAUUGGCAGAUAUAUGGACCCUAUCUGAAAGAGAGAGAAUUGAUGUUGAAGUAGAUAAAUAUGGGGUUCCUUGUACUUAUGCUGGAUCUAUCCUUGGAUCAUUUUUGGGAGUAGUUGCGAAGAAUGGAGCAUUUGCUCCUUUAAACAUUCCGCGAUGGGAUAACCAAGCUUUUAACCCAUUCAAGGAAAAAAUGUUAAAACAUGUUGAGGUUCUUUUAUUUGCACUUAUUUUUUUUACAUUUUAUAUUUUAAAUUGUACUUGAUUUUUAACAUUGAGCAUUUUAUUUUAUGAAUAGUCAAAGUUUAGAUAUCCCGAGGGAACGAGACAUUGGGUCUUGGCAUCUUUAAACAAAAAGUGGAGAGACUACAAGAGUGAACUAAGGUGCGAAUAUUUCUCAGAAGACAAAUCGAUUCAAGAGUUGAUUAACAACGUACCACUCGGUGUAAUUCGGGAUCAAUGGACUAGCUUAGUGGCACAUUGGUGCACCGACGAGAGUAAGGUAUAAAAAUUUUUUAUGCUAAUUAUUCUACUGUUAAUUAGUACGUUCACUUGUAAUGUAAGUGUUUUUAUUUUCUUAUCAUAGAAACUUUGUGAAGUGAAUUCUGUUUCUGCGAAGAAAGUGAAGAUGGCCCAUACAUCGGGCAGAAAAAGUUAUGCUAGAAAGCGAAAAGAAUUGGUAAUGAUUCAAUAUUAACAUUUAUUUGAUUUUAUAUUAUGUUUUAAGUCUCGAUCUCUAUCUUUUACAAUUGAUUAUUUAUAAUUACAGGAAAUUGCUCUUGGCAAAGAACCUGAUCGACUAACUUUUUGGGAGGUGACCCAUAAGAAAAAGAAUGGAAAUUUUGUAAAUAGGGAUGCCGAGAAUACUAUGGUAAAUAUAACUUUCUGUCGCAUCAUUAUAUUUAAUAUUCAUAUUAUUUGUGAAAUAUUAAUAUUUUUUUCUCUCAAAUGAUUAAUAGAAUACAGCGCGUCGAAAAUUUGAUGAACUAUCUCAAAAUUCUGAAUCUGAUACAAGCAAGUUGAUAGAUGAGGCUUUUCUUAACGCUAUGGGUCCCGAGCAUAAUGGGCGUGUGAAAGGUUUAGGCUUGGGACCUACUCUAAGAACAUAUUAUGGUGUGAAACAAAUAAAUUCGCUUGCAACGGCAGAAUCAAGUGGAAAUCAAUCACAGGAGAUAGAAAAACUGAAGGAAGAAUUAGAACGUGUAAAAAACACAAUGGAUGAAGUUCUCAAUUCUACCGUUAGACGGAUGCAAGCGGAAAUGGAUCGCUUAAACACACUACUAUCAAAUACUCAGGUAUACGAAUUUGAUAGCAAGUUAUUACUAGUAAAUGCUAAAAUAUUUUUGUAUUUUUGUAUAACUAAUAAAUUUUAUAUUUUUUUAUAGGUUGCGAGUGGCAAUAUCAAUCCAAUUGAUGCAUUCUCUCCCAACUAUCGAUCAUCGAAUGCAAGUCAUGAACCUACAAGUGAAGGAAACCAGGGAACCACAUAAAUUUUUGUAAAUUAUAUAACUACUCUAUUGACUAUCUCUAACUAUUUAAACUUUUUGUUACGUAGUGUUUUGUUAUAUGCUAUUGGAUAGAUUUUGGAUGCGAUUGUAUUUNAAGAAUACAUGAGAUGCUAAGUAUUGACUACCUUGGCUAGAAAGUAUAUGCAUGUUAGCAUUAAGAGAAAUAUGCUAGUUGGUAUAUAUAUAUAUAUAUAUAUAUAUAUAUAUAUAUAUAUAUGGAAUAUGAUAAAUGGAAUACGCAAUUGGCAAGUUGUAAACUGUGCUAAAAAGUAUAUGCAUGUGCAAUUGUAACAUUGUAGCAUUUGACAUAACCGUGAGAACUUAGAGACAUUGUAGCAUUUGACAUAACAAUGAGAAUUUAGAGACAUUGUGGCAUUAGUUAGAGACAUUGUGACAUUGUGACAUUAGCUAGAGACAAUGUGAUUACUCAAGUUAUGAGAAUUGGGAUUGGCGUUUAUCCCGGCUUGACUACUACUAGUUGGUAGGGUAUCCUCGGGUUAGAGGAUUCGAUCAUACUUACAUAGUCUGUUUUGAGUUAGUGGUGGUCGCUCCACCCAAGCAGUGCACUCCGGAGUUGUCACACGAGGGACAGAAGUACUUGUCCCGCAGGCUGUCUCAGGUGGAGUAAAAGCGGGGUAGCUUCUCACCUAUGAGAUUUGAAAUGUGAGUCAGGUGAGAUAAGAGCGAGGUAGCUCAUCACCUAUGAGAUUUGAGAUGUGAGUCAGAGCAUAAUCUUCGGGUAGCCAGUGAGAUUGGGUGACAAGCAUAUGAGCUGUAGUUGAAUCCCAGUGGAAUGGAUUCCGUAUCCCAAUUGAGUGGAUCUAAGGCUGAGGUGCAUGUGAGACAUCCUUCACCUUGAGCUUGGUUUUAUGUGGUAUUCCGCAGAUGAUUGACUCGAGGCCGAGUCGGAUGGUUAGCUUGGCUAAGGUAGAGGAAAACCUUAGGAGCAAAUAACCAAUGAUGUAAAAUGACAAAAUGUGUAAAUUGUGAAAAAGCUAUGGAUAGCAAGAUAGAAAGGAGAAUCAGAUGAUCUACUUAGCUUAUUGCAUGAGUUGCAUUGUUGCAUACAUUACAUAUUGCAUGUCUUGAGGCAUAAACAUGUAUUUAAUACUUGCAUUAAAUAUUUGUGGAUAUCUGUUGGACUAAUAUGUUUGCAAUGCCUCCUUUGGACCUGGUGGGUCGAGCUUUUCCCUUAGGUGGCCGUACCCACUGGGAACUAUGGACAAUAGUUCUCACCCCUGUGUUGUUUUUGGGGGUUACAGAUUCACACGCGAGUGGCGCGGCGGUGCGAGAAAAGGGCGUAGUUCCGUAGAUAGCGCCCUACCACUAAGACCAGAGAUAGCGGUAUCCUGAGUCGGCCACUUAGGAAUGUAAAGAAAGAAAAGAACCAAGAAUAAAGAAAUUGUAAUAUCAUGAUUGUAUUUGGAAGUUUAAUGCAAAAUGAAAAUGUAAUAUGUAAAAAGCAUGUUAUGUGAAUGCUUGUAAUAGCUUAGUUGUUUUAUAUUUUUGAUACUUCCUUAUGCAAUCCUUGCUUGAUUGUUGUUCCUGGUUGGAACUCCGUGCUUUGUAUGGAUUGUGACGCCUAGGAUGUACAGGAAAAACUCUGUCCGUUCGGCGGUCUGUCGGCGUGCCCGAAUCUGACCAAAUAGGCGGGUAUCGGGGCGUGACACAUCGACUUUGCAAGUCGACAUUCGAAAUCAGAUCCACCUUGAACCGACUCACUAGGAGUCCUUUAACUCUCAACAUCCAACAGCUGCUAGCGACACUAAGCCGCAAACCGUACAGACUGAGGCUUUAGGAAACGGUUUCUCUAACCGAUUUUCGCACCACAACCGAGCUAUACCAAAAGCUCCGAGAACUCCGACAAUACUCUGGAGUAACUCGAGUCAAGAUGAAUCCUGCUAAAAACCACUGACUAUCCCACAACCCACCAAUUUAGGUGUUAGGAUGACCGCAUACAAUGUAUGUAUCAAUUGAACCUGACAACAAAACUGUGUCUACCCGGUUCUAAUACACGUCAGUUUGACGAAUGAACUAACUAAACGUCAAAAGACCCAUACCAAUGAUUCCACCAGCAAUCAAGGAGGGGUAGGCAUCACAACCUUGCCCAAAGAUCUGAGAAGGUAACACCAACGUUGCAGUCGCCUAGACGGCCGCUAAUAAUACCUUGGGCUACACCCUAGUAGCCCUACUGAAGUCGCGACCGUAUCUGAUCAUAGUGUCGUCUCCGUGGAGGAGCUUGCAAUAGCUCUUGUGCCCUAAGUAGGGAGAGUGGCCUGGGCGCCGGCAACCAAAAUAACCGCCUAGGCCCAAAAAUAUCACUUGGCCCUUCAAGGCCCCACCCGACAGGAGUGGCUACACCUAGGGAACAUCACCCGGCCACUCAAUGUCCAUAAAGGUAUACCGCCACUACUCCUGACUGAGACACCAGCUUGUGCGAAAAUCGUAGCACGUACAGAAAAUAACCAUGCACUUCGAGUUUAUCAAUCUCGAAUGCACACCGGGACUCAAGCCCAAACCCCGCACUCACGUUCCUAUAUACUGUAGGCCUUCCUAUGAGUCAACCUAACCAAUGGUUCAGUUUUUGUUUUGAAAACAAUCUGUGAAUGGUGCCAUGGUUGUAACUUGACUCUGAUACCACUUUAAUCUGUCACGCCCCGAGGUCCCUUUGGGUUUUAAAACCAAUACGGAAGUGCCCAAAGUUUUUUUUUUUUUGAAAGCCUUGACCCCAGAGGAUGUCAGAUCCACCACAAAUAUAGGGAAUCCACUGUUCACACGGACAGAGUCUCCCCUAUAUUUGCACGGCGUCGCACAAGUACAAGAUACAACCACACUGUAUACAUAUCCACAUAUAAUCACCACAUCACAUUCAUUUUAUCACAAGUUUACCAUAAGUUCACAUCUAGUAGUUUAAAACGUUUCCUACUCGAAAACUUAUUUUGAAAUACUAAGAAUUAUGAAAGUCAGAAAAAACUCUUUUUAAAACUGUUUCCCACACGGAAACCCCUUUUUCUUUAAAAAUAUGCUACCACGAAGGGUAGAAAACUGUUUUCAUCUCAUAAAAAAACUAUGGUACUUUAUUCAUUUCACAAAACCACAUUUGUCCAUAUAAAUGAAAACCAACUGAACCAUAAUUACUACUUCAAUUAUUAAAAAGACAAGUUUGAAGAGUUUAACCAAAACAACGGGCCAAUAGCUCUAUCGCUCGCUAAGACACGCACCUCACGAACCGUCCCGACUCGAACCAGCAAUGUCACCUGAAAGGGGGGUGGGGGAAGAAAACAUGUAUACAUGUCUCCCCUCCCAGUGGGUACCGCAAGUCGACGAAGGAAAGGAGUACUUACCGGCAGAAAGAGAUCAUCAAGGUCAUAGAUAGAUAUCUCAAAUACAGUAGCUAAUACGCUAGAAGGAAAGAGAACAGUAAUAGAAUAUGUAACUACCGCUACUGUAAAAUAGAACAGAAUGCAUACAUGGAUAUCAAAACUAUAAUAGGAAUGAUGCAUGAGUAACCAAUAGUACAUGGGAAUAUAACUAGCCGCUACUGUAAUACAGAACAAAGUGCAAGUAUGCAUCAACUGGACAUACGAGAAGUCCAAGGUAUACCCAAUCCUUGUGGCCUGUCAUGAAAACUUAGCCUAAGCUCGCCCAUAGUUCUCAAGGACCGCAAAUCAAGUACUACUCCGGAGGGACACAACAAUCCGCACCCAAAGUCGCUAACUUUGUCUAAGCACGACGUAUAUCAAGUCUGGGAGUGAGAACUCAGGGUGGCGAACCCUGUCUAUGAAAUAUCACCUCCCACUGGGCUGGCAACUGAAGUACCUCGGGUUAGUAACCCUGUCUAAGACUCCUUCAGUGCUGUACAAGCUAUAGUCAACUAAUGCCAAAGCAUAUCAGGUAUGAAUACGAAUGUCACCGACUAUGAAAUCAACUAAUGUCAAAUUAUGUCAUGUAUGCAUAUAAGUACCGAACACUCAGGUUAACUAGGAUAGAACAACUCAACAUCCUUUCGAAGGUAUGUAAGUACCGACCACUCAAUGUCAACUAACAUAUAUGCACAAGAACCAACCAAUAGAUCACAAAAAGGUCACGUCAUGCAUCGGUAUAAUCCAAAACUAGCCGUCAACCACUAGCCGACAAUCCUACCCCUCAGGGUAUACUGACCUCAUAGGUCAUCUAGUAGUCCAACCGACCAAAUAGGUCAUAAUGCUAAAUACAAUGAACCGACCGAAUAGGUCAUAGUAAGAGAUACAAGAAUCGACCGACUAGGUCACAGAUCUCACAUGUAAUCAUAAACCUGCUCUACUCCUACCCAUGAUGCUAGACAUGAAAAUAACCAAGUAGAGCGUGAGAGGAGUAACAAAGGUGCUAGGCUUAACAUAUCGUAUAAGUAGUAUAAUAACAGAAAAAAGGGUAAGAAGAUGUCACUGAGCGUGCACCACUGUACCGACUCCGGUCGAAGUACCCACAUGUGCGAAUGUAGCACCUAUCUCGCAUCUGUGGAAGAACGUCAAUCAAACCUACGGAGAGUCCAUCGGGUUAGAAUCCAACCCACAAAUAUAUACAAAACUAACUCACAAUCCUACCUGUAAAACCACGGGAAUCAGUUCCCCAAAAUCGGUUACCGUAACUCGCCGGAAGUCCCGAAAAUCGCAUCGAGACUCCGCUAGGACCCACGAACUGUCCCGAAACUUAUUAACUCACGCCACGAAUCACCCGCUGCCAUUAGACACAAUAAUUUGUGUGACCUAGCAGCAAACACAUAUCCUCACAUCAAAACGAUUAUUGUCGGAUAAUCGUUCCGAUCCGGGUUCCUGAAAGUGUCAAUUUCGACACCAGAACCCACCGUCGCUCACCCGUCAUUUCGAACCCUCGAAAAGAUGCGGGUGACCAGCCAACAAGGCUCAGCGACAACAUGAUCUACAGUGAGGCACCGUCAGAAGAAUUCUGAAUCGAAAUCGCGUUCCGUCGGCGGAUUUCGCCAAAAAACGCACCAAAAAUCAACAUUUGAUUUCCGAAAAGGCCUGGGGCCUUGGACAACUAGUCCAGAGGUCACCCGAUACCCGCACACAUCGCCUAGAGCAACCACGAAAUGUAAUUUGCACAUAAGCCCCUACGACUUCACAAAAUCACAUCAUUUUAUGUGAUUUUCGGGGUUUUAUGGCCCGACAGCAUAAACCGAGGACUUUCGAGCCUGGCCGAGACACUCACUGAUAGGUCUUGACGCACCGGAGGCCGUGCUCAUGCUUUGAAGCAUGGCCGUCCAUUGUGGUAAGCGCGGGAGCGACUCGAAGUACAGCGGACACUACACGCUGAAACUAAAAUGCUUCUAAUUUGCACAUCCGACUCUGAUUGACCCUAAAUGAGGUGAGCACUGUAAUCAAAACUGACCAACAAUCACAGUGCUCACCUUCGGAGGCAUCAGAAUAGCCUCGGGUCGCCGGAACAGUGAAGGCAACUCCAAACAGUGCACAAAUAGGCUAAGAUAAAGCUCACCAGGCAAUAGGGGCCAUGGCACGGCCGGCAGCGGCCAGGCGGCGGGCGCACCGGCGGCAGGCAGGUGCGGGCGACGGAGGGAGGCCGGGGCGCGUGUCAGACGACGAUGGAAGGCAGCNCGGCGGUGGGCAAUGAUGCCCUAGCCGCACAGUCAAGGAUGAGCUUAGCUCGGGUCCGGCCAGUAGGGGGAGCUCCGGCGACGGGGGCGCCGACGGCAACCCGGUGCGGCUGCCUCAGCGAAGCCGGCGCUUACGCCAACCGACGUCGGGAGGCGGCGGUGGCGGCCCAGGAAAAUAGCAAGCCCGCACAGCGCCCACCUCGGGUUACCUCGCUUCUCCGGCCACGGCGAUGGCCAGAGCAUGCAGGGAAGUGUAUUUUGCAUGUGUUAAUUUAGUCAUUUGUUUGCUUGUUUCUUGCCUUUGUGUGUGUGCGUGCUUGUCGACAUAUGUGUGCAUUUGUUUUAUUAUCCUUUUUCUUUAGAAGUUAAUUCUAUCUUUUGGCUACUAAGAAUCAUGAAUAACCAUUUUGGGCAGAAGUUAUCACAUUUUAUUGUUUAUUUAUAAACUUGAGAUUUGAUUAUUUUGCUCACAUAUUUCCUGCUUACUUCUGCACUUGGUGAGCUCGACCUAAUCAUUCGAGAAGCACAUACAUUUUCAACAAAUGAUGGCUACUCAUUAGAUGUCUUUGUUGUUGUUGGCUGGCAUCAUGAGGUACUCUCCAUGUCUCAGAUUUACAUCAGAUUUCUUACUGAAGAGCUAACAAAUCUGCCAUGUAUUAUUAUAUACAGCUUUCCUUCUUAAGAGGCACUUCACGAUAUGUUUACUAGCUAGACCAGCAAUUAUAUCACUUGGUAGGGUUGAUAUAUCACUUGAAAUCCAUUAUAUCACUUGGUAGGGUUGAAUUUUAUCUAUCUUUUCCGUUCUUGUCAUCAAAUGUGUGUGGAACAAUCCAUGGUACUAAUAGUAUCUGUAGGCUAGAAUCUAACCGGCUGUAUUCAAAUUUAAUGUUUAUUAUCACUCUAACUUCUUUAACCAAAAAAAAAAUGUCGGUAAUAAAAUGGUGUAAGUAAAUUAGUAAAAAUAAAAUUCUUAUUGGAAGACUAAUUAAUUGUCUUUAGUUCGUGGUGACUAGGCACGCACCUAAAUUCUAGACAUCCAGCCUAUUUGGAAAUGUCUUAUUUGGCAUCAUCUUGGUGUUCUAAGCUUAUGAAUGGUGCCUAGCCCUUGAUGAAAAGCAUAAAAGAAUACCACUUUACUUGAAAUCAAGUAUGCUGGAACCUUCCAAGUCAAGUCUCUAGUAUAUGGUCAAUCUUUUCAUCCAUUAUGUGUUUUAUUUGAAGCAAGAUUAACUUAAUUAGUCUUCUUGUACCGUAAUUUACUGCUACUGCGUAGAUGCAAAAGCCUGAAGUUAUAUGUCUGCCUGCUUCCGAGGCCCCAUCUUUAGCUCCUUCCACAAUAAUAACUGCUAGUAUUCUAAAUCCUAUUGAGCCAUUACCUGAGUAUUGUUCUACUUUUUUCUUUGGUUGUUGUUUAAAGGAUUCUAUUGAACAUAUUAAGACACCUGUGAUGCUGAUGCUUGACUUCAUUAUAACUAGCCUAGUUCUUCUUUUCGAUUUCUAACUAUAUAUUAGUAAUGAAAUACUAAAUUUCUAGACUUUGAGAGGAUUAGAGAGAUUAGUUAAAGUUUUAGUAUGUUGUAGUCAGAUAGAACUGUAAGUUGUGGCGACCUCCAUGCCUUAUGCUGUAGCCUAUUAAGUUUUUCACUACAUAGUAUAAUUUUUCUUCUAGCUUAUUGGGUUCCUUGCUGUGUAAGUUUAUCAAUUAUGCUGUGUUGAUGGAUGUGUGAUUUCUAGACAUCCAAUGAGAGUUUCAUAUACUUAUGAGCUAGAUUGGGGUGCUAAUAGUAGGAUCAAGCCCUUUGUGCUAUUGAUCAUUUUCAAUGUUUGGGCAUUCAUUUCGACAAUCAUCAUCAGUGAAUCUGAUUUAGGAUAUUUGAACUUCCAUGGAAUCAAAUUUCAUGAAUCUGUUUCUUAGUUAUCAAGUGGUCUCAAAAGUGAUAUUUUUUCCUUCACAGGUCUAUACAUCCUAGAAUUGUUUGAACCCUACUUUUUUUCCAUUAUCCUGAUUCAUCUGCUCUAUCAUGAUGGCUUGUACAUAAGCCUUAAAUGACUCCCUCCUACAUGAUCAUAUAUGACAGAAGUGAAAUUUUAAUCGGCAAUUAAGAUUGAAAUGACAUGCAAAAAGAUGAUCACUGUAACCUCAGAAUAAAAUAGUUGGGUUAAUUGAAGCAAAAACAAGUUGUAAGAAUCAUCUGAUGCUUUUUAAUUUUAUUAGGGAAAAGGAAGUCUCAAAGUUACUAAGUUUCUUUGUUACUCUUAAUGCUGAAUAUUUGGUUAUAUGAACUGAAUUAAUGUCGGUUUCUGUCUGUUCUAUAGUUCAUAGCCAACAUUGUUAUCUAUGUACUUGGCCUUUUUAUUCUUAUAUUAUUUCCGUCAUCAUUCAAGGAUCAACAAAUGUUGAAAAGCUAAUUUUUCUUUAUUUUUAUCUGCAGAUUUAUAAGAGGUAUGACGAGAAAUAUUUUGGCAGUAUUUUGGCGACGUAUUGAAUCAAGUUUAAGAAUUUAGACAUAUUUUGAUAAAUUUACAUUUGAUAGCAUGUGGAAAUGACAAAAAUAUUAUUAUUGUGUUUUGUUUUUUGGAUGUGUUGGGUGAUUGGAUAAGUGACAAUGAUAUUCUAAUAUGGUUCUUGUGAGACAAUCUAAGUUACUUAUUUGCCUUAUAUGACUAUUUAUACUCUUCUUAACAUUUAAAAUUUAAUUCAGUCUUACUUAUUUGUGUGGAUUAAUUUUAUAAUCAAAUACUUUAUAGAGAUUCAACUAGAUUUAAUAUAUAUUGGUUCUAAGGUGUUUGAGCCAUAGUGCUUGGGUUUAAUUUGGUUUUG